AUUUAAUUCUGCUGUGUUAGAAGGAUGCUGGGUGUCACAGUGUUUACAUAACAUUUAUUAAUUUAGCUGACACUCUUCUCCAAAACAACUUACAAUGUUAAGCUACCUACAUUUACGAAUUUAUACAGCCAGGUCAUUUUACUAGAGCAAUUUAUGGUAAGUAAUUCAACCCAAAAAUAACACAUGGUGUCAUGGAAUAUAUUAACCCUCUUGUGUAAGGGAUGGAUGUGCUUUUUUGAAGAAAGAUGGAAUGAGUUAACCGCAUGAAUGCUAUCUCCAGACAGACAAAACGGUCAGAUUUCAUGUGCAAGUUGCUUAAUCCCACUGCUGACACAAGCGGAAAUCGUAGGCAUUCCUCCUACAGCAGCACUGAGAGCAGCUCAAGAAGAGCACCAAGGAGGUCUUUGUGGAGAUCAGGACGCCAUUUAGUGGCACUGCAAGUGGAUGGACUGCUACAUGGGCCUCAGCUUCUACUUCACCUUUGUGGGCCUCCUGCUGAAAGGUGGGGCGAGCAGAACUUGUGCACCACAUACAUCUGUACCUCUACACACUGUGUGUCUUGCAUGUCUAGCCUUUCACCUCUGUCCCCUUUCAGGUUACAGAGGUACAGUCCCCAGCACAGCAGUGAGGACAAUCUGCAUUCUGCAGAUGCUGCUGGGUCUGCCGGGAAAUCACACAGCGUCGCCUACAGAGCAGGUGGAUGGGAAGUCUGCCGCGUGAUGCUACUCUGUGCCAGCUGCCCUUUCGACCCCGGGAUUCAUCACAUUUCUGAGGACAUGCCAUUUGUAUAACAAGCACAAAAACAGUGACUGCCUCCAGUGUUUGGUGUUCGAGCUCCGCUGUGGUGAUGAUGUCACCAGCUUGUUUCUGCUGCAUAUCUGUGUCUCACAGGAGGUUCACAGCUGUGGAGAACAUUCCCAUGGAGCUGUGCAAGCACAUGUGGUGGGGGAUCUUUCCUGGCUCCUUUAACCCAUGCGUCUGUCACAUUUCUAAAACUUUUUCACACACCAUCUUCACACACAAGUCCAUGAGCCUAGACCUAGGGCAGCCUUCAGAGGCCAACACCAGGAAGGUUCUAGGUACGAUCUCUGCCCAGUCGGGUGUCUGGCAACAUUUAACCUAGAACACUCAUGCCACAGGUGCACUUAGCUGCCCGGUUGUUGGGGGGGGCUGUUCCCCCAGCUGGCAGAUAGCUAUGUGACUUUGUGGCCUAAAAAGGACGCCAUGUGGAGCCUUAGGCAGGCAUGCAUUUCCAAACCAUCAGAAUAAAAACUUGAAGUGGCAAAAAAAGCCCCA
rnacentral:lncRNA from 1 species